rnacentral:rRNA from 1 species
CAAGAGCGUAUGUAAAAGUUGUUGCAGUUAAAAAGCUCGUAGUUGAACCUUGGGUUUGGUUGGCCGGUCCGCUUUUUUGCGAGUACUGGAUUCAACCGAGCCUUUCCUUCUGGCUAACCAGUCGUUUCGGCGGCUGGCGAACCAGGAUUUUUACUUUGAGAAAAUUAGAGUGUUCAAAGCAGGCAUUAGCUUGAAUAUAUUAGCAUGGAAUAAUAGAAUAGGACGUUAUGGUUCUAUUUUGUUGGUUUCUAGGACCAUCGUAAUGAUUAAUAGGGACGGUCGUGGGCAUCAGUAUUCAGUUGUCAGAGGUGAAAUUCUUGGAUUUACUGAAGACUAACUACUGCGAAAGCAUUUGCCAAGGACGUUUUCAUUAA